AGUGAACGCUGGCGGUAGGCCUAACACAUGCAAGUCGAACGGCAGCACAGUAAGAGCUUGCUCUUACGGGUGGCGAGUGGCGGACGGGUGAGGAAUACAUCGGAAUCUACUUUUUCGUGGGGGAUAACGUAGGGAAACUUACGCUAAUACCGCAUACGACCUACGGGUGAAAGCAGGGGAUCUUCGGACCUUGCGCGAUUGAAUGAGCCGAUGUCGGAUUAGCUAGUUGGCGGGGUAAAGGCCCACCAAGGCGACGAUCCGUAGCUGGUCUGAGAGGAUGAUCAGCCACACUGGAAAUGAGACACGGUCCAGACUCCUACGGGAGGCAGCAGAGGGGAAUAUUGGACAAUGGGCGAAAGCCUGAUCCAGACAUACCGCGUGGGUGAAGAAGGCCUUCCGGUUGUAAAGCCCUUUUGUUGGGAAAGAAAAGCAGAAGGUUAAUACCCCGCCGUUCUGACGGUACCCAAAGAAUAAGCACCGGCUAACUUCGUG
rnacentral:rRNA from 1 species